rnacentral:misc_RNA from 1 species
GUUGGCGUUGGUGAGCUGUCCGCGUUCAUCGUAGAUGCAGUGUUCGUACAGCGCUGCGCCAAGUCCCUGCACCACGCCGCCGCGGAUCUGUUCGUCCACGAGUUGCGGAUUGAUGAUGGUGCCGCAGUCCUCGACAACCCAGUGCCUGAGCAGUUUGAUAAAGCCGGUGCGGGUGUCGACCUCGAGCCAGGAAGCCUGAANCGUUGGUGAAUGCAAACGGAUACUCGCGCGGCACGAAAUGGCGUGUCGCCAUCAGCUCGGG